rnacentral:rRNA from 1 species
UACGAAGGGGACUAGCGUUGUUCGGAAUUACUGGGCGUAAAGCGCACGUAGGCGGAUUUGUUGAGUCAGGGGUGAAAUCCCGGGGCUCAACCUCGGAACUGCCUUUGAUACUGCAAAUCUCGAGUCCGAUAGAGGUGGGUGGAAUUCCUAGUGUAGAGGUGAAAAUUCGUAGAUAUUAGCUAGAACACCAGUGGCGAAGGCGGCUCAACUGGCCCGAUACUGACGCUGAGGCACGAAAGCGUGGGGA